GACGAACCGUGCGAACGUUGUUCGGAUUCACUGGGCUUAAAGGGCGCGUAGGCGGACGGUCAAGUCGGGGGUGAAAUCUUUCAGCUUAACUGGAAAAGUGCCUCCGAUACUGAUCGUCUCGAGGGAGGUAGGGGCAUGUGGAACUUCCGGUGGAGCGGUGAAAUGCGUAGAUAUCGGAAGGAACGCCGAUGGCGAAGGCAGGUCUCUGGGCCAUUACUGACACUGAGAAGCGAAAGCAUGGGGAGCGAACAGG
rnacentral:rRNA from 1 species